CUACGGUGGGCAGCAGUGGGGAAUAUUGGACAAUGGGCGAAAGCCUGAUCCAGCCAUGCCGCGUGUGUGAAGAAGGCCUUCGGGUUGUAAAGCACUUUCAGUGGGGAAGAAAGCCUUGGGGCUAAUACCCUCGAGGAAGGACAUCACCCACAGAAGAAGCACCGGCUAACUCCGUGCCAGCAGCCGCGGUAAUACGGAGGGUGCGAGCGUUAAUCGGAAUUACUGGGCGUAAAGCGCGCGUAGGCGGUCUGAUAAGCCGGUUGUGAAAGCCCCGGGCUCAACCUGGGAACGGCAUCCGGAACUGUCAGGCUAGAGUGCAGGAGAGGAAGGUAGAAUUCCCGGUGUAGCGGUGAAAUGCGUAGAGAUCGGGAGGAAUACCAGUGGCGAAGGCGGCCUUCUGGACUGACACUGACGCUGAGGUGCGAAAGCGUGGGUAGCAAACAGGAUUAGAUACCCCGGUAGUC
rnacentral:rRNA from 1 species